CUUUGAAAUUAGUACAAGUAUCAAUAUCACAAUGAAUUAGAUUUGUACUUUACUUUUUUUUCAUGUUUGCAGGAAGGGAGACAUGGGCCGCAGGAAUCUGUGAAAGUCCUCGCAACUACUUUUAAGAAUGGAAAUGAAUUGAAAAGAAAGAUUUACAGUGUCCAAAGCACAACAGAGCUUCUGGAAAAAAACAACUGAAUUGGGAUUUGUCCUUGACCGGAUUUUAAAAUUCAAUAUUGAUUUCCAAGAGUUCACUGAUGUUGAUAGUAGUGUGCAGAUAAGUAACCUUGACAGAUUCCAAGUGCACUUUUCAGAAGCACCCCAUCUUCAAACUGUCCCAAGAGAAGUCUGUCAAACUCAGCCUACACAGGAGCCAGAUCAGCCGACUGGUCUGAGGCCUCUACUUGAAAUGAAAGUUCCAGAAAUAUUUGAUGAACUCCAAACUAAGGGCAUUGUUACAGAGAAGACCAGAAUGAAACUCAUUAAAGUUUGCGUCUCUGACUUGGUGGAGAAGCAUGGAUUUUAUCCCUCCACUACUGAAAAGGUGGUUCUUGCAAAGAACAUCAUCACCAUCUUCCCAUCGCUAAAAGUCCAAAUUGAUGGCAGAGGAGAAGGCUUUGUGAGUAUACAGUUUAUUAGUUGAAAAGUGGGUAGAGCUAGCUAUGGGUAUGGGAUGCUUAAAUAUUGAAACAGGGAAAUAAUCAGA